rnacentral:rRNA from 1 species
GACGAACGCUGGCGGCGUGCCUAAUACAUGCAAGUGGGACGCAAGGGAACACACUGUGCUGGCAGACCGUGUGUUCAUGAGUCGCGAAAGAGGGAGUAACGCGGAGGUAACCUGCCGAAUAGCGGGAGGUAACUAGGGGAAACGCUGGCUAGUACCGCCUGAUGUUAAUUAUUGCAUGGUAAUUGACGGAAGGUUGCAAUCGCAUCACUAGUAGAUGGACCUGCGUUGGAUUAGCUAGUUGGUAAGGUAAGAGCUUACCGAGGGGACGAUACAUAGCCGAACUGAGUUGGUGAUCAGCCGCACUGGGACUGAGACCCGGCACAGAGUCCUACGGGAGGCAGCAGUAGUGAUACGUCGGCAAUGGGCGAAAGUCUGACCGCGCAACGCGGCGGGAGUGAAGAAGGUCUCCGCGUCGUAAAUCUCUGUUGUCAGUUAAGAACGCGCGUGCGCGUGGAACGAUCCGUCAGUGACGGUAGCGUGUCAGAAAGCGACGGCUAACUACGUG